AUGGAUCAUGCGGCGGACGCUUUCCGGACGGACCUGAUGACCAUCACGCGAUACCUGCUGAAGGAGCAGAGCAGGCACCUGGAGUCGCGCGGCGACUUCAUCCUCCUCUCCCACAUCGUCCUCGGCUGCAAGUUCGUCACACUCAACAAGGUCGGCCAAGCCAAGCUCAUCGGCCUCUCAGUUCAGAGCAACGUCCAGGCAAGCGCUUGUUUCCUCUCUUCAUCAAAGUUGUUCUUCCGUGGAGGAGCAGAAAGAAGUUGGACGUGCUCUCCCAACGAGGUGUUGGUCAAUGCCCUUGUCAGCAGUGGCCGCACCUGCGUUCUUGUGUCCGAGGAGGACGAGGAGGCUUCAUACUUGGACCGAAAGCUCCGUGGGAAGUACUGUGUCUGCUUUGAUCCCCUGGAUGGCUCCUCCAACAUCAACUGCGGCAUGCCCAUCGGAAUGGUUUCAUGCAUGAUUUCAGCUGCAUGUAGGUUUCGGUUUGUGUCCAAGACAAGAUUUCAUUAUGCUCUCGAAGGGUACAUUAAGAGCAUAAUUACUUCUGCGGUGAGCCGGCAUCUGGUGAGCUUGACGGGUGCCACGGUGGCCAACCGAUGCCCGCCGCGCGUUAACGGCGCGUCCGCGGUCGGAAACGGCGGCUGUCAGUUUGCGUUCAAUGCACCAAAACGUGGGAUCGGCCAUUUGAUGCUGAUCCUCUGA
rnacentral:rRNA from 1 species